rnacentral:sRNA from 13 species
AUGUACCACUCGUACACACCGGUUCCUGCGUGCUGCGCGGUACGCCUGAGAGUCGCUCGCUAUGUUUUGUUAUCC